rnacentral:rRNA from 1 species
CGUCUAUAUACGUAUAGCAUAUCAAUAAGCGGAGGAAAAGAAACUAACUAGGAUUCCCUCAGUAACGGCGAGUGAAGCGGGAAGAGCUCAAAUUUGAAAUCUUCAAGGUUUGACCUUGACGAAUUGUAGUUUAAAGAAGUGUUUUCGGUUAGAGGAGUGGUAAAAGUUCUUUGGAAUAGGACAUCAUAGAGGGUGAGAAUCCCGUAUUUGACCAUUCUUUCUAGCUUUGUGAUACACUUUCAAAGAGUCGGAUUGUUUGGGAAUGCAGUCCAAAAUGGGUGGUAAAUUUCAUCUAAAGCUAAAUACUGGCGAGAGACCGAUAGCGAACAAGUACCGUGAGGGAAAGAUGAAAAGAACUUUGAAAAGAGAGUUAAACAGUACGUGAAAUUGUCAAAAGGGAAGCGUUUGACACCAGUGUUGUUUUUCCGAAAAUCAAUUACGAAUGGCUUGAUUCUGUGUUGUAUUGACCUUAUCAGCUUUCUUCACUUUUUUCAAGUCUUUCUUAAUGCACUUUUCGUUUAACAAGUCAACAUCAAUUUCUUUUGUUGUAAAAGGGUCAUUGGAAGGUGGCUUUCUUUUCGGAGAAAGUGUUUAUAGCCAUUGGCCUCUGCAAUCGGAGAGAUUGAGGUCUGCAGCGUAGAUCCUUCGGGGUUAGAUACAUUUGUGCUAAGUUAUAGCCUUUCAUAGACAACUUGUUGACUAUGAUCAGUCAUGUAGCUUACUCGCUUAUGCUAUUUUACCUACGCUUAGGAUGUUGAAGUCAUCGUAUCGCGC